AGAAGUAAAAGUCGUAACAAGGUCUCCGUAGGUGAACCUGCGGAGGGAUCAUUACUGAGUGAGGGCCUCUGGCCCGACCUCCAACCCUUUGAUGUCCGACUCUGUUGCCUCGGGGGCGACCCGGCCUUCGGGCCCGGGGCCCCCCGUGGUCCACUCAACUCUGCAUCUUUGCGUCUGAGUAAACAUUAAAUGAAACAAAACUUUCAACAACGGAUCUCUUGGUUCUG
rnacentral:misc_RNA from 1 species